CAUCACUACGCUAGAUGCAUAUCAAUAAGCGGAGGAAAAGAAACUAACAUAGGAUUCCCUCAGUAACGGCGAGUGAAGCGGGAAGAGCUCAAAUUUGAAAUCUUCAAGGUUUUACCUUGACGAAUUGUAGUUUAAAGAAGUGUUUUCUGUUGGAGUUUCGGUAAAAGUUCUUUGGAAUAGGACAUCAUAGAGGGUGAGAAUCCCGUAUUUGACCAUUACUUUCCAACUGUGUGAUACACUUUCAAAGAGUCGGAUUGUUUGGGAAUGCAGUCCAAAACUGGGUGGUAAAUUUCAUCUAAAGCUAAAUAUUGGCGAGAGACCGAUAGCGAACAAGUACCGUGAGGGAAAGAUGAAAAGAACUUUGAAAAGAGAGUUAAACAGUACGUGAAAUUGUCAAAAGGGAAGCGUUUGACACCAGUGUCGUUUAGUUGAAAAUCAAUUCAAUAAUUUUUGAUUUUGAGUAGUAUUGACUUCAUCAGCUUGCUGCUUUCUUUUCAGAAAUUAUUGAAUGCACUUUUCAGUUAACAAGUCAACAUCAAUUUCUUUUGUUGUAAAAGGGUAAGAGGAAGGUGGCUUACGCUUCGGCGUAAGUGUUUAUAGCCUUUUACCUCUGCAAUCGGAGAGAUUGAGGACAGCAGCGUAGACUCUUCGGGGUUAGAUACACUUGUGCUAAGCUAUAGCCUUGUAUAGACAACUUGUUGACUAUGCUCAGUCAUGUAGCUUACUCGCUUGUGCUAUUUUACCUACGCUUAGGAUGUUGACGAGACUGUCGAUCUCAUCUAUACAUGACUCUGCGCAUAUCAAUAAGCGGAGGAAAAGGUCACAUUUUGGUUACCUACGCUUAGGAUGUUGACACACGCGCGUGCUCG
rnacentral:rRNA from 1 species